rnacentral:lncRNA from 1 species
UCAAUCAAUGAAGUUGAGAGUUCCAAUUAGAUAAGUAAAGAGUAAUUAACUUAUUCAUUAAUUUCAUAUUGAAGGGUAUAUGUGGAAAAUUUUUAUUAAAAAUUGCCAUCAACUAAUUUUCUUAAACUAUGUGUCAAAAGAAAUCAGCCUAUAACUAUAGGAUGGAGGGAGUAGUUAAUCAGUUGACUAAAAAUUUCAAAGUCUCUGAUUAAUAGUCUCAUAGUUCGGAAAAAAUUAAUAUAUAUAUAUUUAAAAUCAUUAGACUCGCAACUCAAAAG